rnacentral:rRNA from 1 species
UACGUAGGUGGCAAGCGUUGUCCGGAAUUAUUGGGCGUAAAGCGCGCGCAGGCGGUUCUUUAAGUCCGAUGUGAAAGCCCACGGCUCAACCGUGGAGGGUCAUUGGAAACUGGGGAACUUGAGUACAGAAGAGGAAAGCGGAAUUCCACGUGUAGCGGUGAAAUGCGUAGAGAUGUGGAGGAACACCAGUGGCGAAGGCGGCUUUCUGGUCUGUAACUGACGCUGAGGCGCGAAAGCGUGGGGAGCGAACAGG